GCAAAACAUUGUAAACCUGCUGGGAUGAUAAAAUAUAGCACUUCUGUAUGAAGUACAGCUAAAGGAGUGGAAAAAAGAUCCAAUAUUUCCCACAAUAAAAUGGAAUACCUGUGGACAAAGCAACAUACUCAAAACAUACAGGGAGAUGAAAGAAGAGUUGAUGGAAUUUCAAAACUCAUACAAGGAUUCAACUCAGGUUUUGCAUUUGGGGCAGGAAUACUACACAAUCAACGUUAGUGCACCCCACCCGAUGAGACUCCUAAACAAGGCAGGCUGAGUCUACAACCUGUCAGCCUACCCUGCAGAUUUUGGACUUGCUGGCGCCAUAACCGUGUAGGGCAAUUCCCAAAAAUAAAUCCCCCCUCUCUCCACACACACACACACACACACCCCCC